rnacentral:lncRNA from 1 species
UCAGGUCCUCACAGAAAGAGAGGUAGACAGACGUAUACACGGUACCAAACACUGGAGUUGGAGAAAGAAUUUCACUUCAACCGUUAUCUGACGAGGAGACGGCGGAUCGAGAUCGCGCAUGCGCUAUGCUUAACCGAGCGACAGAUCAAAAUUUGGUUUCAGAAUCGCAGGAUGAAAUGGAAAAAAGAGAACAAGGCCGAAGUUCCUGUUUCAGAAAACACCAAACCGCAACCUUAAGGAGAUCAAAGAUAAAAGAAAUUAAAAAAUAAAAAUAAAAAAAUAAGAAAAUAUGAUAAAAUAAAUAAUAAAAUGAGAACCAAAUAUAAAAAGGGCGAAAACCGAAAAAAUUUUACAAUAUAUUUCACCACCACCCACCUUUUCCUCCUCUUUUUCUUCAACGAGUAUCAAAUCAUAAUUCAUUGCAAAGCAAAAAAAAAGAAAAAAAAAGAAAGGUAAAAUGAAAGAAAAAAGCAGAAAAGAAAAUAAACAAACUAUAUUCGAAAUCAUGAAACGCAAACUAGUAAAAGAGAAAAAAAUGAUGAGAUUAGCAAAUUUUAAUAAUAGUAUUGACUAUAUGAACAAAAACAACAAGGGUAAAAAAUAUAAAGUAAAGGCAAACAAUAAAAAAAAACAAUACAUACAAAACUGAUGAAUACCACUGCCCCCCUCCACUUCUUACCAAAAUCGAUAAUGAAUGAUUAAAUAAAGAUUACAAUCGAAAAAUAUAUAUAUAGUAGUUGUAAGCAUGAUAAUGACAGAGUGAACGAUAUAUACAUAUACAUAUAUAUGUGCGUGAAUAUAUAUACAUACAUACAUACAUAUAUAUAUAUAUAUAU